UACAGAGGUCCCGAGCGUUGUUCGGAUUCAUUGGGCGUAAAGGGUGCGUAGGCGGCGGGGAAAGUCUGAUGUGAAAUCCUGGGGCUCAACCCUGGAACUGCAUUGGAUACUUCCUUGCUAGAGUACUGGAGAGGAAACUGGAAUUUACGGUGUAGCAGUGAAAUGCGUAGAGAUCGUAAGGAGGACCAGUGGCGAAGGCGAGUUUCUGGACAGUUACUGACGCUGAGGCACGAAGGCCAGGGGAGCAAACGGG
rnacentral:rRNA from 1 species